rnacentral:rRNA from 1 species
GAGUUUGAUCCUGGCUCAGAACGAACGCUGAUGGCGUGCCUCAUACAUGCAAGUCGAGCGGGCGUAGCAAUACGUCAGCGGCGAACGGGUGAGUAACGCGUAAACAAUCUGCCUCGAGGUGGGGGAUAACUAUCCCAACGGAUAGCUAAUACCGCAUACAGCAGCGAGACCGCAUGGUUUUUCUGUUAAAGAUUUAUCGCCUCGGGAUGAGUUUGCGUCCCAUUAGCUAGUUGGCGGGGUAAUGGCCCACCAAGGCGACGAUGGGUAGCCGGCCUGAGAGGGUGUCCGGCCACAUUGGGACUGAGAUACGGCCCAGACUCCUACGGGAGGCAGCAGUAGGGAAUUUUGCGCAAUGGGGGAAACCCUGACGCAGCAACGCCAUGUGUGGGAUGAAGCAUUUAGGUGUGUAAACCACUGUCGGCAGGGAAUAAAGUCCCCUUGGGGGAGUUGAAUGUACCUGCAGAGGAAGCCCCGGCAAACUUCGUGCCAGCAGCCGCGGUAAUACGAGGGGGGCAAGUGUUGUUCGGAAUCACUGGGCGUAAAGGGAGCGUAGGCGGGAGCCUAAGUUGGAUGUUUAAAAUCGGGGCCCAACCCCGACGUGGCAUCCAAAAACUGGGUUUCUGAAUGGGACAGAAGUUGAUGGAAUUGGAGGUGUAGCGGUGGAAUGCGUAGAUAUCUCCAAGAACACCGAUUGCGAAGGCAGUCAACUGGGUCCACAUUGACGCUGAGGCUCGAAAGCGUGGGGAGCAAACAGGAUUAGAUACCCUGGUAGUCCACGCCAUAAACGAUGAAUACUAGGUAUUGCGCUAUUCAACGGUGCAGUGCCGUAGCUAACGCGUUAAGUAUUCCGCCUGGGGAGUACGCCCGCAAGGGUGAAACUCAAAGGAAUUGACGGGGGCCCGCACAAGCGGUGGAGCAUGUGGUUUAAUUCGACGCAACGCGAAGAACCUUACCAAGGCUUGACAUGGGAAGGACAGUCUGAGAGAUCGGGCCUCUCCCGCAAGGGAGCCUUCCACACAGGUGCUGCAUGGCUGUCGUCAGCUCGUGUCGUGAGAUGUUGGGUUAAGUCCCGCAACGAGCGCAACCCUCGUUUCUAGUUGCCAUCGGGUAAAGCCGGGCCCUCUAGAGAGACUGCCGCGAAUAACGCGGAGGAAGGUGGGGACGACGUCAAGUCAUCAUGGCCCUUACGUCUUGGGCUACACACGUGCUACAAUGGGUGUUACAGAGGGCAGCAAGAGCGCGAGCUGGAGCCAAUCCCUAAAAGCAUCCUCAGUUCAGAUCGCAGUCUGCAACUCGACUGCGUGAAGUUGGAAUCGCUAGUAAUCGCGGAUCAGCACGCCGCGGUGAAUACGUUCCCGGGCCUUGUACACACCGCCCGUCAAGCCACGAAAGGAGAGAGCGCUCUAAGUCGCUUCGGUAACCUUAACAGGAGCCAAGCGCCUAAAGCGAGAUCUCUAAUUGGGGCUAAGUCGUAACAAGGUAGCCGUAUCGGAAGGUGCGGCUGGAUCACCUCCUU